GGAAGAAAACUUAAAGCAGGUAAAUAAAAACAUAAGUAUCGCUUAGAAGUUUAGCUUACAGCCUUUUUGCCCCCAAACUAGAAGCUGAUUUUUCUUUAUUUAAAUCCCUCUACUCUGUUUCAGGAGAAUUAACUAGUCUGUUUCAGGAGAAUAUAACUGGCAGAGCAACUGUCUAUGAUAUCCCAAUUCAUUGUGCUUCGAGCACCCUCAGAGAUGAGGUGCCAGUAUAAAUCCGUAAAUUCUUACUCAACAAGAAAUCUGGAAGUUCUGGUUCACUUGGUAAGAUCCCACGUGUCAGGGGCUCCUGGAUGUCUCCAACAGUCUCUUCACUUCCCCAAGGUGGAGAAAUUGCAGAGUCUGGAUCAAGUGGGGAAGUCAGCACUGAUGAAAUCUACAGGUGAAGAAUUAACAUGGCAGGACUGAUUUAUUCCUGGCUCUUCAAUUACAUCAGGCUUCAUUUGAAAAUUCCCUUCUCUGAUAACAUCAACAUCAUCCUUAUGAAGACUCCUGGAACUUGGCGACUUUAUUUAAAACAAAAGCAUAACUGAAAACUUGUUAGAAAUUAAACUGUUGAUCUUCUCUUUUUCAAGUGCAAUUGAUCAAAGGAGCAGAAGAAAACAAGUAACACAUUUUGAAGUUCUAUGACAAAGCUGUCACUAAAGGGAGCUGAAAGCAGUGAGGACACAGACAUUUGCUCUCUGCCACUGUCCCUACAUCCCUCUUCCUGACUGCCUGCAGAGAGAUUUGUUUCUGCAUCCUUCUUGCGAAUCGUAGAAAACAACGGAGAGCUGAUAUAAAACUUGGAUGGAAAAUUCCCUUGGCACUCCUUAGCUGAAGGCAACACUGUUGGUUUUCCUUCAUCUUCCACAGCUGGUAUUUUCUUCUCAACUUGGCGUGGUCCUUGGAACCCCUGGGAGAGAAAUUUUCAAUUAAUCCACAUUUUGUAAUCACAUGAUGAAAACGGGGCACACUUCAUGGACUACAUUCUGAUCAAAUGGCCUGAAAAUAUAUUCUGAACAAAUUCACAGGUGCAUAGAAACAACCUUGAGCCCUUGUGAUUUUUACUCUAGGCAACACCAAUCCUGCUAAACCAAAUUUCCUAAAUGUGGAAAAAACACAGUCUGGAUUACAGGAAAAAAAAAAAAAAAAGAAGGCAGGAAGAAAUGAUGCAUAUAUUUAUAUAUUUACCAUUCAUGAAAAUAUGUUUUCCUUGUGUUUUACACUGCAUGUAAACA